rnacentral:rRNA from 1 species
GCUCGAGUGGCGAACGGGUGAGUAACACGUGAGUAACCUGCCCUUGACUUUGGGAUAACUUCAGGAAACUGGGGCUAAUACCGGAUAGGAGCUCCUGCUGCAUGGUGGGGGUUGGAAAGUUUCGGCGGUUGGGGAUGGACUCGCGGCUUAUCAGCUUGUUGGUGGGGUAGUGGCCUACCAAGGCUUUGACGGGUAGCCGGCCUGAGAGGGUGACCGGCCACAUUGGGACUGAGAUACGGCCCAG